UGGGAUGAUGAUUUCAUAGACUAGAGUCUCUGAGAAACCCAUGAAGCUCUUUCACAGUGCACUGACCA
rnacentral:snoRNA from 1 species